rnacentral:rRNA from 1 species
UGGGGAAUAUUGCACAAUGGGCGCAAGCCUGAUGCAGCCAUGCCGCGUGUAUGAAGAAGGCCUUCGGGUUGUAAAGUACUUUCAGCGAGGAGGAAGGCGUUGUGGUUAAUAACCGCAACGAUUGACGUUACUCGCAGAAGAAGCACCGGCUAACUCCGUGCCAGCAGCCGCGGUAAUACGGAGGGUGCAAGCGUUAAUCGGAAUUACUGGGCGUAAAGCGCACGCAGGCGGUCUGUCAAGUCGGAUGUGAAAUCCCCGGGCUCAACCUGGGAACUGCAUCCGAAACUGGCAGGCUAGAGUCUUGUAGAGGGGGGUAGAAUUCCAGGUGUAGCGGUGAAAUGCGUAGAGAUCUGGGGGAAUACCGGUGGCGAAGGCGGCCCCCUGGACAAAGACUGACGCUCAGGUGCGAAAGCGUGGGGAGCAAACA